CCCUUAGAUGUUCUGGGCCGCACGCGCGCUGCACUGACGAAUGCAACGAGCUUAUAACCUUGGCCGAAAGGUCUGGGUAAUCUCCAAAUUUCGUCGUGAUGGGGAUAGAUUAUUGCAAUUAUUAAUCUUCAACGAGGAAUGCCUAGUAAGCGCAAGUCAUCAGCUUGCGUUGAUUACGUCCCUGCCCUUUGUACACACCGCCCGUCGCUCCUACCGAUUGAAUGGUCCGGUGAAGCGUUCGGACCGUGGCCUUUGGACGGUUCGCCGUCUGUUGGCUGCGGGAAGUUCGUUAAACCUUAUCAUUUAGAGGAAGGAGAAGUCGUAACA
rnacentral:rRNA from 1 species